rnacentral:rRNA from 1 species
GAUGAACGCUGGCGGCGUGCCUAAUACAUGCAAGUCGAGCGAACAGACGAGGAGCUUGCUCCACAGCUUUUAGCGGCGGCCGGGUGAGUACACCGUGGCUAACCUCCCUUUAAACCUGGGUUAACUUCGGGAAACGGGAGCUAUACCCGGUUACCCUGUUGCUCCCAAUGGUUAAAGCGUGAAAGUCGGUCUUGCCUAUCACUUACAGUGGAUCCGCGGCGCAUUAGCUAGUUGGUAAGGUAACGGCUUACCAAGGCAACGAUGCGUAGCCGACCUGAGAGGGUGAUCGGCCACACUGGAACUGAGACACGGCCCAGACUCCUACGGGAGGCAGCAGUAGGGAAUCUUCCGCAAUGGGCGAAAGCCUGACGGAGCAACGCCGCGUGAGUGAAGAAGGUCUUCGGAUCGUAAAACUCUGUUAUUAGGGAAGAACAAAUGUGGAAGUAACUAUGCGCGUCUUGACGGUACCUAAUCAGAAAGCCACGGCUAACUACGUG